rnacentral:rRNA from 1 species
AUGGGCAGAAGUAACGUCAAUCCUAUUUGGGGUAAGAUCUGAAAAUUAGCUUGUCCGGCAAAGGUUAAUCUUUUUAUUUGGCGGACGCUUCACGGGACCCUACCGUGUCGCAUUACACUGGCCAACAGACAUAUAAAAACUCAGCCAAUAUGCCCAGCAUGUUUGCAUGGGCCAGAGGACAUGAAACAUAUAUUAUUUCUGUGCCAGAAGGCAAAGAAAGUGUGGGAAUAUUUGGGGUUGUAUGAAGUGGUGAAAAAAUCCUGUGUCAUUGAUCGUGCAGGAGAGGCGGUCCUUGAAUUCUUACUCCUUAUGCCUGAUCAUGAACUACAUAUCUUGGGCUCCCGGAAUGCAGGGGAACUAAUCGCUAUAGUUGCUUGGUAUUUAUGGUGGAAUAGACGGAAACUAGUCCAUGAGGGUAAUUCUCAAGAGGCGUCCCAAACCUCGAUGGGGAUUAGGGCUAUAACAGCGAACUAUGUAAAUGCCCACUCUCCUAAAGCAAAUAGAAAGAAUGAAGGAUGGUGCAUACCUCCAAGGGGUUUGUUAAAUUGA